rnacentral:rRNA from 1 species
UGGAAAGGCGCGCGAUACAGGGUGACAGCCCCGUACACAAAAAUGCACAUGCUGUGAGCUCGAUGAGUAGGGCGGGACACGUGGUAUCCUGUCUGAAUAUGGGGGGACCAUCCUCCAAGGCUAAAUACUCCUGACUGACCGAUAGUGAACCAGUACCGUGAGGGAAAGGCGAAAAGAACCCCGGCGAGGGGAGUGAAAAAGAACCUGAAACCGUGUACGUACAAGCAGUGGGAGCACAGAGCAAUCUGUGUGACUGCGUACCUUUUGUAUAAUGGGUCAGCGACUUAUAUUCUGUAGCAAGGUUAACCGAAUAGGGGAGCCGAAGGGAAACCGAGUCUUAACCGGGCGUUAAGUUGCAGGGUAUAGACCCGAAACCCGGUGAUCUAGCCAUGGGCAGGUUGAAGGUUGGGUAACACUAACUGGAGGACCGAACCGACUAAUGUUGAAAAAUUAGCGGAUGACUUGUGGCUGGGGGUGAAAGGCCAAUCAAACCGGGAGAUAGCUGGUUCUCCCCGAAAGCUAUUUAGGUAGCGCCUCGUGAAUUCAUCUCCGGGGGUAGAGCACUGUUUCGGCAAGGGGGUCAUCCCGACUUACCAACCCGAUGCAAACUGCGAAUACCGGAGAAUGUUAUCACGGGAGACACACGGCGGGUGCUAACGUCCGUCGUGAAGAGGGAAACAACCCAGACCGCCAGCUAAGGUCCCAAAGUCAUGGUUAAGUGGGAAACGAUGUGGGAAGGCCCAGACAGCCAGGAUGUUGGCUUAGAAGCAGCCAUCAUUUAAAGAAAGCGUAAUAGCUCACUGGUCGAGUCGGCCUGCGCGGAAGAUGUAACGGGGCUAAACCAUGCACCGAAGCUGCGGCAGCGACACUGUGUGUUGUUGGGUAGGGGAGCGU